rnacentral:rRNA from 1 species
CCCCACUGCUAUCGGGAUGGGACUAAGACAUGCUAGUCGAGCGCCUCUAGCUAUGAUGAGGCGCGGCAUACAGCUCAGUAACACGUGGCUAACCUGCCCUUGGGACGGGGACAACCCCGGGAAACUGGGGCUAAUACCCGAUGGGUGAGAAAUCCUGGAAUGGAUUCUCAUUGAAAGGGUGUCUAAAUCAUGCUUUUAGAUGUCGCCCAAGGAGGGGGCCGCGGCCGAUCAGGUUGUUGGUGUGGUAAUGGCUCACCAAGCCUUUGACCGGUACGGGCCGUGGGAGCGGGAGCCCGGAGAUGGGCACUGAGAUAAGGGCCCAGGCCCUACGGGGCGCAGCAGUCGCGAAAACUCCGCAAUACACGAAAGUGUGACGGGGCUAACCCGAGUGCCGUCCGAUGAGGAUGGCUUUUCCUCAGGGUAAGAAACUGGGGGAAUAAGGAGAGGGCAAGACUGGUGUCAGCCGCCGCGGUAAUACCAGCUCUCCGAGUGGUGGGGACGCUUAUUGGGCUUAAAGCAUUCGUAGCCGGCUGGGCAAGUCCUCCGUUAAAUCCAACGAUCCAAUCGUUGGGCUGCGGGGGAUACUGUCCGGCUAGGAGGCGGGAGAGGCCGACGGUAUUUCCGGGGUAGGAGUGAAAUCCUAUAAUCCCGGGAGGACCAUCAGUGGCGAAGGCUGUCGGCUGGAACGCGCUCGACGGUGAGGGAUGAAAGCUGGGGGAGCGAACCGGAUUAGAUACCCGGGUAGUCCCAGCUGUAAACUUUGCAGGCUGGGUGUUGGUGUGGCUACGUGCCACUCCAGUGCCGUAGGGAAACUGUUAAGCCUGCCGCCUGGGAAGUACGGUCGCAAGGCUGAAACUUAAAGGAAUUGGCGGGGGAGCACCACAAGGGGUGAAGCUUGCGGUUU